rnacentral:misc_RNA from 1 species
CAGCCCCUCAAGCACUUGCUUGGUGUUGGGGAUCCAGGCUCUAUCGCCUGGGCCCUGAAAUACAGUGGCGGGCCUGACAGGACCCCGAGCGCAGUAGUUUUACAGCCUCGCUCAGGGCGGACUGCCGGUGCCCACGCCGUAAAACCCCCUAACUGCCCAAAA